rnacentral:rRNA from 1 species
ACCCGUUGAUCCUGCGAGAGAUUGCUGCUAUUGGGGUUCGACUAAGCCAUGCAAGUCUGGUGGUUUUCGGACAAACAAGCAAAAUGCUCAGUAACACGUCGAUAAUCUGCCCUAUGAUCUAUGUCAACCUCGGGAAACUGAGGCUAAGCUUGAUAUGAGAUAAUGACUGGAAUGUCUUUUCUUUGAACAUAGGAUGAGUCGGCGGCUGAUUAGGUUGAUGGAGAGGUAAAGGCUCACCAUGCCUAAGAUCAGUACGGGCCAUGAGAGUGGUAGCCCGGAGAAGGGUACUGAGAGACUGACCCUAGCCCUACGGGGUGCAGCAGGCGCGGAACCUUUACAAUGCACGCAAGUGUGAUAAGGGAACCCCAAGUGCUUAUGUUAUGCAUAGGCUUUUGCUAAGUGUAAAUAACUUAGAGAAUAAGUGGUGGGAAAGACUGGUGCCAGCAGCCGCGGUAACACCAGCGCCACAAGUGGCAAUCAUGUUUAUUGGGCCUAAAGCGUUCGUAGCUGGUUUUGUGUGUCUUUUGUGAAAUCACUGGGCUUAACUCAGUGGCGAGCAAGAGAAACUGCAAUUCUAGGGACCGGGAGGAGUAAGGAGUAUUCUGUGGGGAACGGUAAAAUGUAAUAAUCCACAGAGGACUACCGGUGGCGAAGGCGCCUUACCAGAACGGAUCCGACAGUGAGGGACGAAGGCCAGGGGAGCAAAACGGAUUAGAUACCCGAGUAGUCCUGGCAGUAAACGCUGUGUGCCAGGUGUUGCAUUUCCUUGUGGACGUGCAGUAUCGAAGCGAAGGCAUUAAGCACACCGCCUGGGUAGUACGGUCGCAAGGCUGAAACUUAAAGGAAUUGGCGGGGGAGCACUACAAGGGGUGCAGCGUGCGGUUUAAUCUAACUCUACACAGAAAAUCUCACCAAGGGCGACUGCAGGAUGAAGAUCAAGUUAAUGGCUUUAUCAGACGAGCAGAGAGGUGGUGCAUGGCCGUCGUCAGCUCGUGCCGUAAGGUGUCCUGUUAAGUCAGGUAACGAGCAAGAUCUGCGUCUACUAUUGCCAGCGGAUUCUACGGAAUGACCGGGCACAUUGUAGGGACUGCCUUCGAAAGGAGGAGGAAGGUGCAGGCAACGAUAGGUCUGUAUGCCCCGAAUCUCUUGGGCCACACGCGCGCGACAAUGGAUAGGACAAUGGGCUGCGACCCCGAAAGGGGAAGCUAAUCCUCGAAACCUAUUCCAAGUCUAGAUUGCGGGUUGUAACUCACCCGCAUGACACUGGAAUCCCUAGUAAUUGGAGUUCAUCAAACUCCGGUGAAUAUGUCCCUGCUCCUUGCACACACCGCCCGUCAAACCAACCGAGCAUAGUUUAGGUGAGGCCAUACUUUUGGUAUGUUCGAAUCUAAGUUAAGUGAGGUGGGUUAAGUCGUCACAAGGUA